rnacentral:rRNA from 1 species
UACGUAGGGUGCAAGCGUUAAUCGGAAUUACUGGGCGUAAAGCGUGCGCAGGCGGUUUUGUAAGUCUGUCGUGAAAUCCCCGGGCUCAACCUGGGAAUUGCGAUGGAGACUGCAAGGCUAGAAUCUGGCAGAGGGGGGUAGAAUUCCACGUGUGAGCAGUGAAAUGCGUAGAGAUGUGGAGGAACACCGAUGGCGAAGGCAGCCCCCUGGGUCAAGAUUGACGCUCAUGCACGAAAGGCGUGGGGAGCAAACAGGAUUAGAA